GGGUGAGUAACGCGUGGGUAACCUGCCUCAUACAGGGGGAUAACAGUUGGAAACGGCUGCUAAUACCGCAUAAGCGCACAGUACCGCAUGGUACGGUGUGAAAAACUCCGGUGGUAUGAGAUGGACCCGCGUCUGAUUAGGUAGUUGGUGGGGUAACGGCCUACCAAGCCGACGAUCAGUAGCCGACCUGAGAGGGUGACCGGCCACAUUGGGACUGAGACACGGCCCAA
rnacentral:rRNA from 1 species